rnacentral:rRNA from 1 species
CGUGUAGGUGGUUUAGCAAGUCAGAUGUGAAAGCCCUGGGCUCAACCCAGGAAGUGCAUUUGAAACUGCUAUUCUAGAGUAUGGGAGAGGAGAGUGGAAUUCCCAGUGUAGAGGUGAAAUUCGUAGAUAUUGGGAGGAACACCGGUGGCGAAGGCGACUCUCUGGACCAAUACUGACACUGAGACGACGAAAGCGGUGGGGAGCAAACA